AUGCUAUAUAGUAAUGCAAUGCAUUCUUUUUUUCCUUUGGAUGAUUUUUCUCGAAGUAACUUGGUCAAUAAUGACAUUUUUAUAUGCUGCAACCUAGAAGAAACAGCCACCAAUGGACAGGAAUUCGUCACAUUAAGUGGUCUAUCUCUUUCAGUCCAUGCCGACGAAGCAAUACAGAAGCAUCCUCAUGCUAACAAGCAUCUGGAGCGAAGCAUGAAGCACAAGCUUCUCAAGGAUAAGCUGACACCUAAUAAGGAUGAGAACAAUGGAGAUACUAAGAGGCAACCUUUUGGGGUUAAGGAUAUAAACAACAACAUGGCUUAUGAGGCCGAAGAGAGCUUGAGUGGCGGCUUUUGGAUCUUCAAGCCCUGCACUUUCCUGGUGGAGUGGCAGCAAAAUAGUUCAGAGGCUUUAAAGCUACUGCACUUUACAUAG
rnacentral:rRNA from 1 species